rnacentral:rRNA from 1 species
UACGGGGGGGGCAAGCGUUGUUCGGAAUUACUGGGCGUAAAGGGCUCGUAGGCGGCCAACUAAGUCGGAUGUGAAAUCCCCAAGCUUAACUUGGGAACUGCAUCCGAUACUGGAUGGCUUGAAUCCGGGAGAGGGAUGCAGAAUUCCAGGUGUAGCGGUGAAAUGCGUAGAUAUCUGGAGGAACACCGGUGGCGAAGGCGGCAUUCUGGACCGAUAUUGACGCUGAGGAGCGAAAGCCAGGGGAGCAAACGGG